CGUAGGUGUGUGACGUCCUACUGGAAUUCGCAAAACAAGGAAGUAAACUCUGCUUGCUCGGGAACGAUCUUCCGAUGUAAAGUGAAAGUUCACUCGACCGGUCUCUAAUAGAAAAAAAAAUAGCACGUCGGCUAUCCUUACGGGUUUUGGUUUAAGUCAAAUACACCAGUUGACUUAUUUUAACACGCCCUUGUCUGAAAAGCCGAGGUGGGGGCACGAAAACACCGAUCGGUAUAUUGUCAGCAUUCAGGGACCACAAAGGAGAACCUUAGGAAGGAGUCAUGAACCUAGACGACAUACCACAGAUGGAUGGAACAUGUGAUGCAUGUGAGCCUGACGAGGCUCAAGUGGCCACCCAAGUGUGUCACAACUGCAGAUUUGCCUUCUGCUGUUUGCAUGCUGACGAACAUGCUUCCAGUACACACCACUCAUUAGCACCCUAUGACCAGGAGCGGAUGCACGCUAAUGGAUGUACCUCAGACGCAUACUCGGGAUUUGAAAGUGGGACCAAGGAGACUCCGCCUCCUUUGAAGGGGGUGCCUAAUGAACAGGAUGGAGUUUUGAGGCAUGAGACUGGUGAUAUGAAUGGCCAUAAAUCCAAGAAAGCCCUGCUAGUGCAGGGAGCGGAUUUGGGAGCCGAUUUGAGGGUUGAGGGUUCUGAAGGUUCGCCCGUGGACAAGGCUGCUACAGAGGCAGUGAAGAACGACAGUGUAUCAGUAGUUAGGCUACGUUGCAUGGAGCAUGGGCAGGAAGGCUCCGUCUACUGUAAACCGGAUGAGAAGAUCAUCUGUGUUGUGUGUGCUAUUCACGGUGAGCACCAGGGACAUGAGAUUAUCACCCUGCAUGAUGCUUACAUCUGGCAGAAGAGUAGGCACCUUUGUGACCUGCUGGACUGUCUACAACAGAUGGAAGAAAAGAUCUCAAAAAAGUGGACAAAGUCAGAGAUGUCUACAGUGGAAUUGGAGGCAUAUGUGAGCAGUCAGUUUGAUGCGCUUCGCAGAUUGCUAUAUCUGGAAGAAAAGAAGACCCUACACAUUUUAGAUCUCAAAGAGGCAUUCCUGACGGCAUCUGCUGCAGAGAAGAUUGCAGAGAUCAAUGUCCAAACUGAGCGUCUCCAGGAAGAAAUGGCCAGCAUUACCCACCAGCUAUGCUUGUUGGACAAAGCAACCAUUAGUCCUACACUGGCAGCGGAGGCCCUCAUGGAAGCAUCGGGACCAGGCCAUAGAUUAACGCAGGACUUUGAGGCCAGACCAAGUGUAAACGCACAUGGAGACCAAGGGGACACCGCCUGACAGGGCAUAGGAGUGUCGACACCGGAGGAUAUGGCAUCAGCCUAUCUCUCUGAGUAGUUUGCCCUUCACAUAGUCAGAACAGAUGAGCUCAGCAAGGCAGGGAUGUGUCAGGGGAUCAUGUUUGGAGGACACAGCACAGGACUAGGAAAUAAAGGCUACCAGUGCCAAGGGCAGACCCGGUGGACCUGCAGGAAUUGGAUGACAGUGGUUCCGGACGUUGCACGGACCACGCCCCAUAGUUGUUGUCUUUCUGUUUCAUAACUUGGGCUUCAACCCACUUUUAGCAUCCUUGUGAUCUUAAGUCUCCCUUGUCCUCAAAUGGUAGUGAAGUGGCCUUGAAAUCACUUGUGAUGGCUCAAGGCGGUUGUAACCCCCCCCCCCCUUCUCAAAAAUUUUAAUUUUUCUCAACCAUUAACUGAAUGUAAACACUGCACUUCACUGUAAUUGAUUAGAAUCUGGCCCGAUUUCUACUGCCAGUUGGAUUGGAGGCUCACUAGUGUGCUUGCGGACUUGAGAGAUGGAGAUUGACUAUCAGUAAGCUCGGCAGAUGUCAGAAAUUGGAUAUUUCUUCAAUACUGGGAUUUUUACUUUUGUUUUUUUUUUCCCAGUUUUAGAGAUAGUCGUGUUGAAAGCUAUUUUGUAUUUGGUGGCGAUAAAAAAAAAAGGACAUCUACAGUCGCUUCUUUUUAAACUCUGUCUUUUCCACUUCCCGUCAUCCUGGUGCUUGAACGUUUUAUUCCCUCAUACGCCUUUACCGAACCAGUCACUGGCGAGCUUCGAUUUAUGUGCAACCACUUGUAGGAUCACCAACUGGGGCAUUUGACACGUCUUGAUUUUUGGAUGUAUAUGACUUAAUGGGUGAAAAUCAAACUGUAAUUUGAAUUUUUCAAAAAGAACUCUUACCCAAUGUCAGCUCACUGUCUGUGUUGCUCAUACAAUAAAACAUACACAGUCUGUGGCAAAUUUA